rnacentral:rRNA from 1 species
AUCUUCCGCAAUGGACGAAAGUCUGACGGAGCAACGCCGCGUGAGUGAUGAAGGCUUUCGGGUCGUAAAACUCUGUUGUUAGGGAAGAACAAGUGCUAGUUGAAUAAGCUGGCACCUUGACGGUACCUAACCAGAAAGCCACGGCUAACUACGUGCCAGCAGCCGCGGUAAUACGUAGGUGGCAAGCGUUAUCCGGAAUUAUUGGGCGUAAAGCACGAGCAGGUGGUUUAUUAAGACUGAUGUGAAAGCCAACGGCUCAACCGUGGAGGGUCAUUGGAAACUGGGAGACUUGAGUGCAGAAGAGGAAAGUGGAAUGCCAUGUGUAGCGGUGAAAUGCGUAGAGAUAUGGAGGAACACAAGUGGAGAAGGCGACUUUCUGGUCUGUAACUGACACUGAGGCGCGAAAGCGUGGGGAGCAAACAG